UACGUAGGGGGCAAGCGUUGUCCGGAAUUAUUGGGCGUAAAGGGCGCGUAGGCGGUGCGGUAAGUCACCUGUGAAAUCUCCUGGCUCAACUGGGAGCUUGCAGGCGAAACUGCCGUGCUGGAGUGUGGGAGAGGUGCGUGGAAUUCCUGGUGUAGCGGUGAAAUGCGUAGAUAUCAGGAGGAACACCUGUGGCGAAAGCGGCGCACUGGACCACAACUGACGCUGAGGCGCGAAAGCUAGGGGAGCAAACAGG
rnacentral:rRNA from 1 species